rnacentral:rRNA from 1 species
CACCCGCUGAAUUUAAGCAUAUUACUAGCGGAGGAAAAGAAACUAACAAGGAUUCCUUAGUAGCGGCGAGCGAAGAGGAAGAGCCCAGCGCCGAUCCCGUCCGACAGGCGGGCGUGGGAAAUGUGGCGUACGAAGACCGCUUUGCCCGGUGCCGAUCGGGGGCCCAAGUCCUUCUGAUCGAGGCCCAUCCACGGACGGUGUGAGGCCGGUGGCGCCCCUGUCGCGCGGGUUCGGUCUUCUCGGAGUCGGGUUGUUGGGAAUGCAGCCAAAGUGGUGGUAAACUCAUCUAAGGCUAAAUACCGGCACGAGACCGAUAGACGACAGUACCGUAAGGGAAGUUGAAAGAACUUGAAGAGAGAGUUCACAGGGCGUGAAACCGUUAAAGUAACGGGUGGGGUCCGCGCAGUCUGCCGGGGGAUUCAACUCGGCGGGCCCGGGGACGCGCGCGGUGUGGGAGGAUCCCCUCGCGGGACCUCCCCCGCUGCCGGCUGGCCCCCCGCCGGGCGCAUUUCCUCCGCGGCGGUGCGUCGCGACCGGCUCCGGUUCGGCCAGGAAGGGUCUGGGGCGAAGUGGCUCGCGGCCUCGGGCCGCGAGCUUUACAGCGCCUCUCGCCGGAAUUCGCGCUUACCGGGGCCGCGGACUCUGUGCUCGCUGCGCCUCUCUCCCCUAACCCGGGGAGGACGGGCCCCCUCGCUCCGGCGCGACUGGUCGACGGGCGGACUGUCCUCAGUGCGCUCCAACCGCGUCGCGCCGCCAGGGCGGGGAUCGGCCCACGCCAAAGGCGCACGGGUCUGCGGCGAUGUCGGCUACCCACCCGACCCGUCUUGAAACACGGACCAAGGAGUCUAACGCGCGCGCGAGUCAAAGGGUCUCACGAACCCCGAGGCGCAAUGAAAGUGAGGGCUGGCCCCGCCAGCUGAGGUGGGAUCCCGGCCCCCGCGGCCGGGCGCACCACCGGCCCGUCUCGCCGCUCCGUCGGGGAGGUGGAGCUUGAGCGCGUGCGAUAGGACCGAAAGAUGGUGAACUAUGCCUGGCAGGGCGAAGCAGAGGAACUCUGGUGGAGGCCCGUAGCGGUCCUGACGUGCAAAUCGGUCGUCCGACCUGGGUAUAGGGGCGAAAGACUAAUCGAACAUCUAGUAGCUGGUUCCCUCCGAAGUUUCCCUCAGGAUAGCUGGCGCUCAAGUCUCGCAGUUUUAUCUGGUAAAGCGAAUGAUUAGAGGUCUUGGGGCCGAAACGAUCUCAACCUAUUCUCAAACUUUAAAUGGGUAAGAAGCCGGCUCGCUGCUUGGAGCCGGGCGUGGAAUGCGAGCUGCCAGUGGGCCACUUUUGGUAAGCAGAACUGGCGCUGCGGGAUGAACCGAACGCCGGGUUAAGGCGCCCGAUGCGCGCUCAUCAGACCCCAGAAAAGGUGUUGGUUGAUAUAGACAGCAGGACGGUGGCCAUGGAAGUUGGAUCCGCUAAGGAGUGUGUACAACUCACCUGCCGAAUCAACUAGCCCUGAAAUGGAUGGCGCUGGAGCGUCGGCCCAUACCCGGCCGUCGCCGGCAAUAGGAGCCGCGAGGGCUACGCCGACGAGUAGGAGGGCCGCCGCGGUGAGCACGGAAGCCUAGGCGCGAGCCGGGUGGAGCCGCGCGGGUGCAGAUCUUGGUGGUAGUAGCAAUAUUCAAACGAGAACUUUGAAGGCCGAGUGGAGAAGGUUCCAUGUGAACAGCAUUGAACAUGGGUCAGUCGGUCCUAAGGGAUGGGCGAACGCCGUCGGAAGCGCGGGGCGAUGUCCUACGUCGCCCCGGCCGAUCGAAAGGGAGUCGGGUUCAAUCCCCGAACCUGGAGGUGUGGGAUAGGCGCCGCGAGGCGCCCAGUGCGGUAACGCAAACGAACCCGGAGAAGCUGGCGGGGGCCCGGGGAGAGUUCCUUUUCUUUGUGAAGGCAGGCGCCCUGGAAUGGGUUCGCCCGAGAUAGGGCCCGUGCCCUGGAAGCGUCGCCGGUUCGGCGGCGUCCGGUGAGCUCUCGCUGGCCUUGAAAAUCCGGGGGAGAAGGGUAAGUCUCACGCCAGACCGUACCCUAUCCGCAGCAGGUCUCCAGGUGAACGCCUCUGGCAUGUUAGAACAGGCAGCUAAGGGAAGUCGGCAAGUCAGAUCCGUAACUUCGGGAUAAGGAUUGGCUCUAAGGGCUGGGUCGGUCGGCUGGGGUGCGAAGCGGGGCUGGCUCGCGCCGCGGCUGGGGAGCAGUCGCCCCGUCGCCUCCUCUCUCCGCCGCGAAGCGCGGUGCGCGGCCCGCCUCGCGGGGCUCGCGUCUGCGGCGCCUCGCGCGUCGUACGGCGUGGGUUUUCGCGGGGCGGGUCCGCCGCCGUGGAAGGCGGGCCGGCGGGGGUGCGGUCGCGGUGGCUGGCGGCGACUCUGGACGCGCGCCGGGCCCUUCUCGCGGAUCACCUCAGCUGCGGUGCCCGUCGGGUCCCCUUCGCGGGGCUCCCGGCGGGUCGCCUCGGCUGGCGCCUAGCAGCUGA